rnacentral:rRNA from 1 species
UACGUAGGGUGCAAGCGUUGUCCGGAAUUAUUGGGCGUAAAGCGUUCGUAGGCGGUCUGUCGCGUCGGAUGUGAAAAUCCAGGGCUCAACCCUGGACCUGCAUUCGAUACGGGCAGACUAGAGCUCGGCAGAGGAGACUGGAAUUCCUGGUGUAGCGGUGAAAUGCGCAGAUAUCAGGAGGAACACCGAUGGCGAAGGCGGGUCUCUGGGCCGAUACUGACGCUGAGGAGCGAAAGCGUGGGGAGCGAACAGG